rnacentral:misc_RNA from 1 species
AAGUCGUAACAAGGUUUCCGUAGGUGAACCUGCGGAAGGAUCAUUAAUGCUUAGCAUAGGCAGAAGCAGCGCUUCGCGUUGCCCUGCUCAAUGCAUCGCCUUUUCCAAACUCUCGAAGCUUUCGGGCUUUCGACGUCACAAGUAACCUGAGGACGUUUCUCUCUGAGAGAUGUUCCUCUACCUUUUAUUACCAUCAUUACCCUAUUUAAACUCUUUAGACUGAUAUCAUAAAACAUUUAUUUGAUAAAUGUAAAAAACAACUCUUAGCAAUGGAUAUCUAGGCUCUC